UUAUGGAUGCUAUCGAUGGAAUGCAGGCACAGAAUACAGAGAUGAUGCAGAUGAUGCGUCAAAUGCAACAGCAACAGGAUGCUCGGAAUGCCAUAACCGACCAGCGGUUUACUGAGUUGUUUAGCAGAUUCGACAGCUUAGACAUACGUCAAAGAUCACCAGGACCAAGAACCAGAGGUGGAAGGCAGCCUUAGUUGUAUUUUUCUUUUUCCUUUCCAUUUUGUAUUUCUUUCCCUUCAAACAUCGAGGACAAUGUUUAGUUCAAGUAUGGGGGGGAAAUUAUUCUUUCCAUUCUCAUCUUUGUUUCAAGUUUGUACUCUCCCUUUUCAUUGUUAUUUCCUUAUAAAAACAAAAUAUUUUUUUUAAGUUAAGUCCUGAAUGUGAAAGUUUCUAUUAUCUAUUUCCCUCAACUUUCUUGAGCCAUAACAAAAAU
rnacentral:lncRNA from 1 species